rnacentral:rRNA from 1 species
AUGAUGCCCAGCUUGAGGCUACCAUUUAUCCAGCUAGGUUUGGAUUCUGAAAUGAAAGGGCGUUCUUGGCGAAGUCUGAAGUGUGUUCUGGGCAUGAUAGGAUCUUUUGUGCGUCAAUGGAGGGUGCUUUGCGACGAUGCUCAAGCUUCACUGCUCCUCAAAUGUCUGCGCCUACUCGAUCAUCAUCGAAGGGGGCUCCUUAGGAUAACUUGGGUCGACUCUUGGCAGCUCUUCUUGUGGCUAGCGUUGUCCAUUUAUGAUGUAUAUGUUCUCUUGCUUCCUCAUGUUGAGCGCCUGGCCUGA